UAAAAAUAAAUAGAGCAUUUUGAAACAAAUAAAAUUAAUCAGUUUAAGGGAUGUACACAAUUAUUUUAAAUCAGUCUGAACUAAAUCCAUACAACCUUAAAAGAGCUCAAUUCAUUUGUGUCGAAACAACAAAAAAUAAUGAUUCAAGUCAAACUACUACUUUUGCGCAUGCGCUGAUGACAGGAAAUCCACGUGACCUCGUCAGUUAUCGCGGGCGCCAUUAUGUGGUGGAGUCCAGUCUAUGGUGGAAUGCUGUAGAAUUGGUUUUUACAAGAGCUCAUUAAAUAGCAAUCCUAUACUUGGGUUAUAGUCUACUUUUUCACAUGGUUUACAAGAGCAAUAAACAGCAUCCCAUGCUUGGGUUUUAGUAAACUUUUUCAUGUGAACAACAGCGUAGACAUGGAAAGAGAAUGCAUCCUCAAAAAGCACUGUGUGUAUACUUAAAGGAGGACCAUCUACAGCUGUUCAAGGAGUACAAUAAAACGUGCAAAUACUGAGUUCUCUUUCAAGUCUUGUGCUUCAGAGGCCAAAUUCGUACAAAAAUUAUAUCAACAUGACCGUCUUGGAUUGCGACUGGAUGAAUGCUAAAGAAGCCAUAGAUCAGAUGGUAAUGGGGAUCUACAUCGUCCAAUCCAUAGUCGCCAACCAGGAGAUAAACCUGUGGACGUUGGUAUCCUGAUUGAAGGGACUGAGGUUCUCUGCUUUUUGAAAAACGUGUAGCAGUGGCCAUGCUGUUUGGACUUACUUACGCCUUGAACCUCAGCUACCCACAAGAACUCAAGGCUACAUUUGAGGUCAUCCAGAAAGUGUUCUUUAUCUUGGAUGGACAAAAACUUUCACUAAAGGUACCAGCCCUUAAGAACAAGAUGUUGGAGUAAGUUACCUUACGUGUGUAUCCUCAAAAGACUAAAUCUUGACUCUAGCUGUGCAUAUACAUUGAAAUAUAAUGUUGUUCAUCUUGGAUGAUAUUUUUUUGUAUUUUUUUACCUGAAAAUUUGCCUUGAAAUAAGAAUAAAGAGAAACUUUUGACAUUCACUUUGAGAACAUUUUAUUUGUGCAGUAAAUUACAUUUUGAUAGACAUGUCAACAAUUAAACAUUUGUUUGAUGUAAAUAAAGUUGUACAAUUAACUUAACGAUAGUAGUUGACACAAUAUUUCUGGUUUUCUAAAUUAAGUGAUUAAGAUUAAUUGGCUCAACAAGAUUAAAUAGUUUAUAGAUAAAUACGAUAAUAUGAUUCAAAUGAAAAUGAUUUGAUCUUGUUGGUUCAAAAUGAAUUUUGCUCUUGGGUUCCAUUUGCCUAAAUUAAGUUGAGACAACACCAUUCAAAUGUGUGGAAAUAGGUGUCAUAAUUAUAUUAAGUUAGACCAACGAUUUAUUUUUUU